rfam:Oesophagostomum dentatum strain OD-Hann O_dentatum-1.0_Cont1842.2, whole genome shotgun sequence.
GGUUAUAACCCAGUAUCACAAGGUACUAAGGGUGUCUGACCUACCUUAGGGUUGCGUCAUAAACCUUAAUUUUUGGACCGCCUUCUCGGGGUAUCCGGGAGGGCAGC